CCUACGGGAGGCAGCAGUGGGGAAUAUUGGACAAUGGGGGCAACCCUGAUCCAGCCAUGCCGCGUGUGUGAAGAAGGCCCUCGGGUUGUAAAGCACUUUCAGUGAGGAAGAACGCCUGGUGGUUAAUACCCAUCAGGAAAGACAUCACUCACAGAAGAAGCACUGGCUAACUCCGUGCCAGCAGCCGCGGUAAGACGGAGGGUGCGAGCGUUAAUCGGAAUUACUGGGCGUAAAGCGCGCGUAGGUGGAUUGAUAAGCCGGUUUGUGAAAGCCCCGGGCUCAACCUGGGAACGGCAUCCGGAACUGUCAAGCUAGAGUGCAGGAGAGGAAGGUAGAAUUCCCGGUGUAGCGGUGAAAUGCGUAGAGAUCGGGAGGAAUACCAGUGGCGAAGGCGGCCUUCUGGACUGACACUGACACUGAGGUGCGAAAGCGUGGGUAGCAAACAGGAUUAGAUACCCUAGUAGUC
rnacentral:rRNA from 1 species